GUCUUUGACUUGUCUCGAGGUAUGAACCUUCCCGUGCUUUUUAGAACAUAGAUGGCACCAGUCAGGUGACUAUCGAAACGUAAUACGCCGCGAUGACUUCGGUCACGACGGUAUGGCGAGCUGCGCCGUCCACGUUUCUCUUUCUUCAAGAAGACAAAAAACCGCGUCGACCGGUUCCCCGAAUGGGCCCGUAGCUCAGUUGGUUAGAGCACACGCUUGAUAAGCGUGGGGUCGGAAGUUCAAGUCUUCCCGGGCCCACCAUUUGCACCAGCAAAUGAAAUUUGCUGUAGCGAAUGAGGGUUAGGGAUGAUGGAAUGUUGGUGAUGCGGAUUGUUGCCGAACCUGGGCUUGUCCUGGGUGAUCGAGCUGGAGGGGCUGUAGCUCAGCUGGGAGAGCACCUGCUUUGCAAGCAGGGGGUCAGCGGUUCGAUCCCGCUCAGCUCCACCAAAUCGAUUGGUGUUGAGACUGACGGCAUUUGUCUUUUGAAGAAAUAAAAGUUUUGCACCGGCUUAUGGCUGGUGCGUGUUCUGCAUACAUUGUGAAGAGAAGAUUGAUCUGGAGGCUUCCAGGUGUUGUGGGUUUUGCCCAUGAUGUCCGAGCCCAGUUCCUGUGAAACCAUGGAUGGCCUAGCCGGCCGGAUGUGGUGGAGGGAUUGGAGGUAGGUAGGAAGCUUGUCGCUCUGGAUCGUCAGCGUAAACCGCGUAGCGGUUUAUCGCGUGUUGUUCGUUGCCUUUGGGCAUCGUCUGACGGACGAUCGGAUUACCGUUGCCUGACCGCGCGGUAUCGGAUCCAAUCUCGAGAAGCUGGUCUUAAGACAGGCUGCAAGCGAGCUGCUCGGCGUAGCUCCAAUAAAGCAGACCUGUCGAACACGUUAAUGGCAUUGUUGGAUUGACUGGGUUGUAAAAGGUAACCCGGUCUGUUGCCGUUUCUUAUGGAACGAGCAACGAGAUGAUGAGCAUUGGCAAUGAGAACGAUUAAGUGUCGUAAGGGCAUUUGGUGGAUGCCUUGGCAUGCACAGGCGAUGAAGGACGUGAUACGCUGCGAAAAGCCGUG
rnacentral:tRNA from 1 species